UGAGGAAUAUUGGUCAAUGGUCGGGAGACUGAACCAGCCAAGCCGCGUGAGGGAGGAAGGUACAGAGUAUCGUAAACCUCUUUUGUCAGGGAACAAAGGCGGGGACGUGUCCCCGGAUGAGUGUACCUGAAGAAAAAGCAUCGGCUAACUCCGUGCCAGCAGCCGCGGUAAUACGGAGGAUGCGAGCGUUAUCCGGAUUUAUUGGGUUUAAAGGGUGCGUAGGCGGACGCUUAAGUCAGCGGUAAAAUUGCGGGGCUCAACCUCGUCGAGCCGUUGAAACUGGCAGUCUCGAGUUGGAGAGAAGUAUGCGGAAUGCGCGGUGUAGCGGUGAAAUGCAUAGAUAUCGCGCAGAACCCCGAUUGCGAAGGCAGCCUGCCGGCCCCACACUGACGCUGAGGCACGAAAGCGUGGGUAUCGAACAGG
rnacentral:rRNA from 1 species